AUAAAUAUCCCCACAAAAUGAACUUUUGCACAAUAUUCUAAGUUUUCGAGUAUCACCUGUAUGUUGUUUGAGCGAUACAUGAUCGCUCAUAAUUGGCUGAUGUCAAAGUUGGUGUUACAAACACUCACUUUAACAGUGAUCUCUGCCUCCUCUGUAGCAUUUUGAGAGGGAGAGACAGAGCUCAUAGUAGUUUGCUGCCAGAACCUGUGAAAGAGAGUAAAAAAUUAUACAAUUCCAUUUUACUCCUUUCCUGCCAAAUCCUG